CUGUUUAUGAACUCAGGAAAAUUCCAUCCAGCCUCUAGCCUGAAUUUUCUUCUUACCUCUCAUCCACCUCCUCCUGUUCCAGGACAGAGAUAAAGAACCUGAGGCUUUCCUGGCACAACUUCCUCCCCCAAAGCAAGCAAGCAAGCCAAGAAGUUACCUUUGACCCUUAGGGGAACCCAGAAACCAAGUAAACAGACACAUAAUCACCCCCGGAAUGCAGGCCUCCAUGUUUUCUGGCCUUGGCUCCCAGUGCUGUUCAAAAGCCAGGGCCUCCCCAGAUCAAAGGUGGUCCUUCGAUCUACGGAAUCUUCAGACCUGAACGAUGAGGUCACUCGGCUCCUGCUGGGUUCCCUGCAGGAGUCUGCCUCAAGCCCGGAACAGCUGGGCCCUACAUCCAUCCAGGAGGAGCUCCAUCACUCAGUGAUUCUGAAUCUCUCCAUUUAUUAAACACACCUGGCCAAGAUCCCAGCCGCUUCUCUCCACAGACUUGCUUCUGUGGCAUGGGAUGCAGUUCUAUGAAGAAGGAAGAGGGGUGUGUGUGUACACGCACGCUCAAGCUCAUAGACAGGUGUGCAUACUUAAUAAGCAUCACGCUGAGGCUGGGCAGUCUGGGCCAACAUAAAUACGCCCUAGAGAUCUUAAGCAGGUGACUGAACACAUCAGGGACACAAGAAUGUGGAAGUAAGCCACUUCAGAAGCCUUGUUAUUGCUUUAGGCCAUUCCAGAAGGCCCAGAGGCCUCAGCAUAGGUGAGGGCUGGCCAAGUGCCUCCCUCCCAUGGUGCCUCAUACUCAGUGGAAGGACAACAAGGGCUGAGCCACUCUGGAGAGUGAAAUCUGACCCUGUGCUUCACCCACUCCAGCACUCAGAGGAAAGAGUUGUGAGCUUCAGACAGUGGGCAGGAUCAUCCCAGCCUAUCCUGGUGGGAUAUGCAUUCUCAAUGUGCUACUUCCUAUGGGGUGGGUUGCUCUUCCCAACACUCCCCAACCCCAAACUCAGCAACAGCAAUAAACUUUGGAGACCCUCUAUGGUAUACAUA